rnacentral:lncRNA from 1 species
CUGGAGGGAGGAAAACAAACAUCUGGACUAUUAUACCUAAGAAAUUGGGUAAAGUGAAUAUCACUGUAGUUGCUGAGUCCAAACAAAGCAGUGCUUGCCCAAAUGAAGGAAUGGAGCAGCAAAAGCUAAACUGGAAAGACACUGUGGUCAAAAGCUUCUUAGUAGAGCCUGAAGGUAUUGAAAAGGAAAGGACCCAGAGUUUCCUUAUCUGUACAGAAGGUGCCAAAGCCUCCAAGCAGGGAGUUUUGGACUUGCCAAAUGAUGUAGUAGAAGGGUCAGCCAGAGGCUUUUUCACUGUUGUGGGGGAUAUUCUAGGACUUGCCAUGCAGAAUCUGGUUGUUCUCCAAAUGCCCUAUGGAGGUGGAGAGCAGAA